rnacentral:lncRNA from 1 species
UUUUUUUUUUUCACUCUAGAUUUGAUUCACUCCACUCGUGUUUCACACAAUUUUUUUGGCUUUUCUCUAUACUGAUCUUACCACUCUUGCCUUUUACCUUCUUGUUUUGUUAUUUGAGUUCUUAGAUUAACUAAGGUACAUAAACAAACAAUUCAGAUUAUGGCAAUUCAAAAUAAAAUAGUGAAAUUGGACAACUUUAAAAGCAAACAAAAGAUAGGCCAAUUUAAAGGUGUGUAUAAUGCACUUUAAUCAUAUGUAAAGACUAGAAUUUUUUUUUUUUUUUUAGGAAUGAAGAAAGAUUUCCAAAUCGAAAUAGAAAUUCAAAUUAACAAAGAUCAAAUUCUGUAACUUUCAAG